GACGAACGCUGGCGGCGUGCUUAACACAUGCAAGUCGAACGGUAAGGCCCUUCGGGGUACACGAGUGGCGAACGGGUGAGUAACACGUGGGUGAUCUGCCCUGCACUUCGGGAUAAGCCUGGGAAACUGGGUCUACUACCGGAUAGGACCCUGGGAUGCAUGUCCUGGGGUGGUAGGGUUUUGCGGUGUGGGAUUGGCCCGCGGCCUCUCAGGUUGGUGGUGGGGUGGUGGCCUACCAAGGCGACGACGGGUAGCCGGCCUGAGAGGGUGACCGGCCACACUGGGACGGAGAUACGGCCCAGACUCCUACGGGAGGCAGCAGUGGGGAAUAUUGCACAAUGGACGCAAGCCUGAUGAAGCGACGCCGCGUGAGGGAUGACGGCCUUCGGGUUGUAAACCUCUUUCAGCACCGACGAAGCGCAAGUGACGGUAGGUGCAGAAGAAGGACCGGCCAACUACGUGCCAGCCGCCGCCGUAA
rnacentral:rRNA from 1 species